rnacentral:rRNA from 1 species
UACGAAGGGGGCUAGCGUUGUUCGGAAUUACUGGGCGUAAAGCGCACGUAGGCGGAUUUGUAAGUCAGGGGUGAAAUCCCGGGGCUCAACCUCGGAACUGCCUUUGAUACUGCAAGUCUCGAGUCCGAUAGAGGUGAGUGGAAUUCCUAGUGUAGAGGUGAAAUUCGUAGAUAUUAGGAGGAACACCGGUGGCGAAGGCGGAUCUCUGGGCCAUUACUGACGCUGAGGAGCGAAAGCGUGGGGAGCGAACAGG